CGCAGUGCCGCUAUACUGUGGCGUCAUCUCACGAUGUUUUAGCGCAAGACUUUGUGGGAAUCUGACUGUGCGCAAACCCAUUUUUGUGGGGAAAUUUCACAUAAGCAAUUUCAGCUCUUUAUUUUAUCACAUUAACAUCCACAA